rnacentral:misc_RNA from 1 species
AAGACUGUACCCACUGAUCAUCUUCGACUGGAUGAUGAUGAAAUGGUACAGAAAGCUGCUGAGGAUGUGAAUCUAUCAGGCACCAUGGCCUCCUCCACACUGGCAAAGAGGCCCAGCCAGAGGGUCAUCAAUCCCGCCCUCAACAGAGGUCAAAAGGCCCCCUGGGGGGAAAUGGACCCAAAACAAUGGGUCAGAACACCUCAUAAUCCUCCAAAGAAUUUCUUGGGUGAAGAUACAUUUAGUCCAACUACUCCAAAUAUGGAUAAGAUUCACGACUUCAUGCACAAUCCACGGAAAAUGGCGCAGAUGAAGGAGCAGACAGAAAACAUGCCUAAGUUUGUGGCAGAGAAGAUGUCCAGGACGUACGCCUCGUGGCUACAGUGGUGGCGGAGUACCAUCACCAGCGACGAUUACAUGAAAUACCUGUCCACCACGGAGUCAGAUUAUAUGGGUGUGGUGUUUCAUUUCUAUGACUCUGAGGAUGAGGAUGAGGAGGAAGAUGAGGAACCUACGCCUCGCUUCAAUUUACCAAGAAUGGGAAUGUCUCCAUUUAAACCUCACUCCAGAGCAGGGGGUCAACCCAGCAAACUGGCAGAGCUCAAGAAACAGCAGAGGUUGCAACAGGAGAGAGAGAAGAAGAUUGAAGAACUGAAACAAGAGAAAACUAAAUAUGAAGAAGGGAUGUGGAAUGUAAAUGCUGUACUUAUGGGUGGACUAGGAAAAGACCCGAUCAUUGCAGAGGCGCAAGAUGAUGAUGAUGCCUCCUCAACAAGGAAGAAGUCAGCAGACACCACUAAAUCUGCCAAAACUCUCCAGGAGAGAAUGGCAGCAAGGCACUCUGCAAAACUGGAGAAGGCUUGCAGGGAAGUUGCUAUGACCUCUCGGGCCUCGAAAGUGACAACUGUAACAGGAACCAUCAGUAAACUAGAGACAGAUCGCACGGAAGAGAGUGGAGAUGUACAGUUGACCCCCCAGGAGAGAUUGGAGAAGGUUUGGAAUGCCCUGGAGAUGCCAGAUAACCUAAAGCUGGACAUGGCCAUCAAAUACAGCACCAACGAGUACUAUGUUAAACUGUUUGAGGCCAUUGAACGUUGGGAGAAGGUCACAGAGCUGAUACUGAAGAGAGAAGACCUUCUGGCAAAGCUUGAAAAGUUCGAGAGGGCGGCCUCAGACCCAAACAGGUUCUUUGAAAAAGGUAACAAAGGAAGCUCGGUGAAAAGAUUGCAAGAAGCAAAACAAAGGAGUUAUUUAUACAAGAGGAUAGAAUAUUAUGACCAGGAGAUUAAAGUGGAAUUAAAUUUUAUAAAGAAGCAUUUUAAGGAUGAAGUCUCAUAUAAAGGCCGUCCAUAUGAAGAGAAAAUAAAAUGGGAUAGGAUUGAGAUGUUGUAUUGGCUGCAGGAAGAAAGGAAGAGCAGCGCCAUCCGAUACGAGUCCAUGAUGAGGCCAUUCCAGGUGGGCACUGCCCAGUUAGAGCCCAUCCCAAAUCUUCCACAGGAAGGAGUGGUAUAACCAUUAAUGCCCAUUCCAAAUCAGAGUGGUUCUGUGUAUAAUAAAAAAACCCAAGCCCAUGGGACAGGAGAUUUUACAUAUUGUCCUUUAUUAUAUCUGUGAUGAAUAUUGUACCAAACACUAUAGCUGCUUUUUGAUGGUCUGUGAUAUUAAAUAAUAUGAACACACUUUUAUCCGUAUUUGAUAGUAGUGUAUAUGCAUCUGAUGUUUAAAUGCUGGAAUAUUUACACAUGAUAAAUAAACCUUUUUAUGUGC